GCACAAUGGGCGCAAGCUUGAUGCCAGCGACGCCGCGUGAAGGAUGACGGCUUUUCGGGGUGUAAACCUCUGUAGCAUCGAAGAAAGCGAAAGUGACGGUAGGUGCAGAGAAAGCGCCGGCUAACUAUCUGCCACUCACUCCCGUAAUACCGUAGGGCGCGAGCGUGUCCCGGAAUUAUUGGGCGUAAAGAGCUUGUAGGCGGUGAGUCGCGUCUGCUGUGAAAGGCCGGGGCUUAACUUCCGGUUUUGCAGUGGGUACGGGCUAACUAGAGUGCAGUAGGGGAGACUGGAAUUCCUGGUGUAGCGGUGGAAUGCACAGAUAUCAGGAGGAACACCGAUGGCGAAGGCAGGUCUCUGGGCUGUAACUGACGCUGAGGAAGCGAAAGCAUGGGGAGCGAACAGGAUUAGAUACCCUGGUAGUCCAUGCCGUAAACGUUGGGCACUAGGUGUGGGGGACAUUCCACGUUUUCCGCGCCGUAGCUAACGCAUUAAGUGCCCCGCCUGGGGAGUACGGCCGCAAGGCUAAAAACUCAAAAGGAAAUUGACGGGGGCCCGCACAAGCGGCGGAGCAUGCGGAUUAAUUCGAUGCAAACGCGAAGAACCUUACCAAGGCUUGACAUGCAUUAGAAUCGCGUCAGAGAUGGCGUUUCCCUUCGGGGCUGGUGUACAGGUGGUGCAUGGUUGUCGUCAGCUCGUGUCGUGAGAUGUUGGGUUAAGUCCCGCAACGAGCGCGAACCCUCGUUCUAUGUUGCCAGCGGUUCGGCCGGGGACUCAUAGGAGACUGCCGGGGUCGAACUCGGAGGAAGGUGGGGAUGACGUCGAAAUCGAUCGAUGCCCCUUAUGUCUUGGGCUUCGACGCAUGCUACGAUGGCCGGUACAGAGGGUUGCGAUACUGUGAGGUGGAGCUAAUCCCUUAAAGCCGGUCUCGGUUCGGAUUGGGGUCUGCGAACACGAACCCCGUGAAAGUCGGAGUCGCUAGUAAUCGCGGGUUCGGCGAACGCUGCGGUGAA
rnacentral:rRNA from 1 species